rnacentral:rRNA from 1 species
GACGAACGCUGGCGGCGUGCUUAACACAUGCAAGUCGAACGGAAAGGCCCUGCUUUUGUGGGGUGCUCGAGUGGCGAACGGGUUAGUAACACGUGAGUAACCUGCCCUUGACUUUGGGAUAACUUCAGGAAACUGGGGCUAAUACCGGAUAGGAGCUCCUGCUGCAUGGUGGGUGUUGGAAAGUUUCGGCGGUUGGGGAUGGACUCGCGGCUUAUCAGCUUGUUGGUGGGGUAGUGGCUUACCAAGGCUUUGACGGGUAGCCGGCCUGAGAGGGUGACCGGCCACAUUGGGACUGAGAUACGGCCCAGACUCCUACGGGAGGCAGCAGUGGGGAAUAUUGCACAAUGGGCGGAAGCCUGAUGCAGCAACGCCGCGUGCGGGAUGACGGCCUUCGGGUUGUAAACCGCUUUCGCCUGUGACGAAGCGUGAGUGACGGUAAUGGGUAAAGAAGCACCGGCUAACUACGUG